rnacentral:ncRNA from 2 species
AGACUAAUCGAACCAUCU